rnacentral:rRNA from 1 species
GAUGAACGCUGGCGGCGUGCCUAAUACAUGCAAGUCGAGCGAACAGACGAGGAGCUUGCUCCUCUGACGUUAGUGGCGGACGGGUGAGUAACACGUGGAUAACCUACCUAUCAGACUGGGAUAACUUCGGGAAACCGGCGCUAAUACCGGAUAAUAUAUUGAACCGCAUGGUUCAAUAGUGAAAGACGGUUUUGCUGUCACUUAUAGCUGGAUCCGCGCCGCAUUAGCUAGUUGGUAAGGUAACGGCUUACCAAGGCAACGAUGCGUAGCCGACCUGAGAGGGUGAUCGGCCACACUGGAACUGAGACACGGUCCAGACUCCUACGGGAGGCAGCAGUAGGGAAUCUUCCGCAAUGGGCGAAAGCCUGACGGAGCAACGCCGCGUGAGUGAUGAAGGUCUUCGGAUCGUAAAACUCUGUUAUUAGGGAAGAACAAAUGUGUAAGUAACUAUGCACGUCUUGACGGUACCUAAUCAGAAAGCCACGGCUAACUACGUG